AUCUAUUUCUGGAGAUUGCUCCUCUUAGAGUUUUUUCUGUGAGCCUAUAAUGCAGACCCCCAUUUAAGGGCUGACUAAGACUGGGGAAGGAUCUCCUUCUGGACAUUCCUCCUUUGUGGAGCCUUUCAUCGUAAGCCUAAAUCUUGGGAUACAGUGCUUUUCACACUGAAUCACGGGGUUGUAAGGUUUGGAAGGGACCUCUGAGGGUCAUCAAGUCCAGCUCCUUGCUAAAGCAGGUACCCUACAGUGUGCCACACAGGUGGCUUUGCUCCAGUCACUGCUUACAAAUCCCACAUCUCCUGGUUGUACUCACCUUAAACUCCUCCCAUUUGGGGAUGGAGUCCAGAGGAACGCUGAUUUUCUCUAAUAUACCAUGAGAAUCUAUACUACUUUAAUUCACUGGCAGAAAUCAGAAGAAUUAUUGUUUCAAUAGUACCUUUGGGGGGUGCACCAAUACAUGACACCUCCUAAAGACACUGUGUGGGGAAUGGACUGGUCCAAAGAUAUUAACUAUCUUCUCAAGAGCAUGGAGUCAUAAUCACAUUCAUGUAAGAAAAGAUAUCCCUGCCCUUCACAGAGCACCAAGAUACUAAGAAAUACUGAUUUCACUGAUAAGAUUUAAACUAACAUCAGUCAUCUUAGGUCAGGCUCAUAAUUUAUUGUCUGUUUCUCUGGGCUAACUAGCUUGCAUUGUAAGUUCACUUCCUUGAAGUUUGAGGUUUUUUUUUUUCCUAAGAGUUACUUUCAAUACUUAAGAAAUCUGUGCAUUGAAUUGCUUUAUAUUUGAGAUGUUUGAAUUUGGUGUCAAUUGGAUGGCAAUGAUGAAAAGAAGAGGAGCUGAGGGUAAACGGGCUCUAGAGCUUUUGAAAUUGUUAGGGGAAUAAAAAUUCCCCGUGUUUAAAUUAAUUGAUGUUGAAUUACUGCAUCAGUAUUGCCUGUAAUUUAUGCAGUAAAUUAGUAAGCAAUUUGAGAAAAACAUGUUUCCACAUAAUCACACAAUUUUUCAUAGUAUGCCUACACAAAUAAUUACAAACAAAGCUCAUUAAUUUCAGUUGCUGUUACAUUAGUGUAGUGAAGUUCGCAGGCUCAAGCUGGCUCUAUUCAGCACAGUCUAGGCAAACUGAGCCUAUACCAAAACACCUACACAGCCCAGAGGCUGAUUUACACAGACAGAUCCCAGUUAGCAGCCCCUUCAGGGCAGUCUGUCAUAAGCAUUCAGUGUUUGACACCUGCACUGCUUCCUCUGCUGUGUUCAGCAAAUGGUACAUCUCAGUUCCUUAAGUACAAACUGUUUGGCUGGGGUGUUCACACACAUUCAGCAGGGGGAAUACUCCAGCAUACUGAAGCAACCAUAAGGUUCUGAUCCAUAUCAGAGUUUGACAUGGCUACAAGAAUUAGACCUAAACAAUCACAGCUGGGGAUAUAGUGGUAAAUAUUUCAGCCAACAUAGUCUACUGUCCUGAUGAAAUAUAUUGAUUCCAACCAAAGUCAGUAUAAGCCCCAAGAUGUUUGAUGUCAUUUCAGCAUCCUUUCUGAAAUCUGCAACAGCAGUCUAAUCCUUGGUCAGCAGAGCCAAUUGUCUGUGAACAUGACUACUCUGUGUACUUGUUCUGCAGCCUUUUUCUGUGCACUUGAAACAGUUUAGCUCUCUAGAGCCAUUAAAUGUACCAUCUC
ensembl:lncRNA